GUGAGGUAAGGUGGUAGUGUUAAUAGCACUAUCAUUUGACGUUAGCUGCAGAAGAAGCACCGGCUAACUCCGUGCCAGCAGCCGCGGUAAUACGGAGGGUGCGAGCGUUAAUCGGAAUUACUGGGCGUAAAGCGCAUGCAGGUGGUUGUUAAGUCAGAUGUGAAAGCCCGGGGCUCAACCUCGGAAUUGCAUUUGAAACUGGCAGACUAGAGUACUGUAGAGGGGGUAGAAUUUCAGGUGUAGCGGUGAAAUGCGUAGAGAUCUGAAGGAAUACCGGUGGCGAAGGCGGCCCCCUGGACAGAUACUGACACUCAGAUGCGAAAGCGUGGGGAGCAAACAGGAUUAGAUACCCUCGGUAG
rnacentral:rRNA from 1 species